CAGAAGCAGAACCUGUGGCGUCUCCACCAUGGCCUGGACCCCUCUCCUGUUCUCCCUCCUCACUCUCUGCACAGACUCUGUGGCCUCCUCUGAACUGACCCAGUCGCCUUCUUUGUCCGUGGCUCCAGGAGAGACAGCCAGGAUCACCUGCACUGGAGACUUUUUGGAGAAAAGAUACACUAGCUGGUUGCAGCAGAAGCCAGGCCAGGCCCCUGUGCUGGUCAUUUAUAAGGACAGUGAGCGGCCCUCAGGGAUCCCUGACCGAUUCUCUGGCUCCAGUUCAGGAAAGACGGUCACCCUGACCAUCAGUGGAACCCAGGCCGAGGAUGAGGCUGACUAUUACUGCCGGUCGAGCCCGAGUGAUAAUACUACUCACAGCUCCGUGGUUUCCAAAGAGCUGACCCAGCCACCCUCGGUGUUGGUGACCCCAGGACAGACCGCCAGGAUCACCUGUGGAGGAAACAACAUUGGAAGUAAAAGUGCUUACUGGUACCAGCAGAAGCCAGGCCAGGCCCCUGUGCUGGUCAUUUAUGAGGAUAACAACUGA